rnacentral:rRNA from 1 species
UCCUACGGGAGGCAGCAGUGGGGAAUUUUCCGCAAUGGGCGAAAGCCUGACGGAGCAAUACAGCGUGAGGGAAGACUGCCUAUGGGUUGUAAACCUCUUUUUCAGGGAGGAAUAAAAUGACGUGUACCUGAAGAAUAAGCAUCGGCUAACCCCGUGCCAGCAGCCGCGGUAAGACGGAGGAUGCAAGUGUUAUCCGGAAUCACUGGGCGUAAAGCGUCUGUAGGUGGUUUAAUAAGUCAACUGUUAAAUCUUGAGGCUCAACUUCAAAAUCGCAGUCGAAACUGUUAGACUAGAGUAUAGUAGAGGUAAAGGGAAUUUCCAGUGGAGCGGUGAAAUGCGUAGAUAUUGGAAAGAACACCGAUGGCGAAAGCACUUUACUGGGCUAUUACUAACACUCAGAGACGAAAGCUAGGGUAGCAAAUGGGAUUAGAUACCCCAGUAGUCCUAGCCGUAAACUAUGGAUACUAGAUGUUGAACAGAUCGACCUGUGCAGUAUCAAAGCUAACGCGUUAAGUAUCCCGCCUGGGAAGUAUGCUCGCAAGAGUGAAACUCAAAUGAAUUGACGG